rnacentral:rRNA from 1 species
UUGAACGCUGGCGGCAUGCCUUACACAUGCAAGUCGAACGGCAGCACGGGAGCAAUCCUGGUGGCGAGUGGCGAACGGGUGAGUAAAGUAUCGGAACGUGCCCAGUCGUGGGGGAUAACGUAGCGAAAGUUACGCUAAUACCGCAUACGAUCUAUGGAUGAAAGCGGGGGAUCGCAAGACCUCGCGCGAUUGGAGCGGCCGAUAUCAGAUUAGGUAGUUGGUGGGGUAAAGGCCCACCAAGCCGACGAUCUGUAGCUGGUCUGAGAGGACGACCAGCCACACUGGGACUGAGACACGGCCCAGACUCCUACGGGAGGCAGCAGUGGGGAAUUUUGGACAAUGGGCGCAAGCCUGAUCCAGCCAUGCCGCGUGCAGGAUGAAGGCCUUCGGGUUGUAAACUGCUUUUGUACGGAACGAAAAGGUUUGGCCUAAUAAGCUGAGCUCAUGACGGUACCGUAAGAAUAAGCACCGGCUAACUACGUG